rnacentral:rRNA from 1 species
AGUGAACGCUGGCGGUAGGCCUAACACAUGCAAGUCGAACGGCAGCACAGUAAGAGCUUGCUCUUACGGGUGGCGAGUGGCGGACGGGUGAGGAAUACAUCGGAAUCUACUUUUUCGUGGGGGAUAACGUAGGGAAACUUACGCUAAUACCGCAUACGACCUACGGGUGAAAGCAGGGGAUCUUCGGACCUUGCGCGAUUGAAUGAGCCGAUGUCGGAUUAGCUAGUUGGCGGGGUAAAGGCCCACCAAGGCGACGAUCCGUAGCUGGUCUGAGAGGAUGAUCAGCCACACUGGAACUGAGACACGGUCCAGACUCCUACGGGAGGCAGCAGUGGGGAAUAUUGGACAAUGGGCGCAAGCCUGAUCCAGCCAUACCGCGUGGGUGAAGAAGGUCUUCGGGUUGUAAAGCCCUUUUGUUGGGAAAGAAAAGCAGCGGGUUAAUACCCCGCUGUUCUGACGGUACCCAAAGAAUAAGCACCGGCUAACUUCGUG